rnacentral:rRNA from 1 species
GAUGAACCCUGGCGGCGUGCCUAAUACAUGCAAGUCGAGCGAACAGCCGAGAGUGCUUGCACUCUCUGACAUUAGCGGCGGACGGGUGAGUACCACGUGGGUAACCUACCUAUAAGACUGGGAUAACUUCGGGAAACCGGAGCUAAUACCGGAUAAUAUUUAGCUUCGCAUGAAGCAAUAGUGAAAGACGGUUCUGCUGUCACUUAUAGAUGGACCCGCGGUGUAUUAGCUAGUUGGUGAGGUAACGGCUCACCAAGGCAACGAUACAUAGCCGACCUGAGAGGGUGAUCGGCCACACUGGGACUGAGACACGGCCCAGACUCCUACGGGAGGCAGCAGUAGGGAAUCUUCCGCAAUGGACGAAAGUCUGACGGAGCAAUGCCGCGUGAGUGAAGAAGGUUUUCGGAUCGUAAAACUCUGUUGUAAGGGAAGAACAAGUACGUUAGUAACUGAACGUACCUUGACGGUACCUUACCAGAAAGCCACGGCUAACUACGUG